rnacentral:lncRNA from 1 species
CUAUGACUGUCAUUCUGUGACCACCGCCCUGUGUGCCCCACUCCUACACAAACAAAGGUCUGCUCUCCAGAAGAUAGAAUAAUAAAGUGACUCAGCAAAUAC